rnacentral:sRNA from 1 species
UUUUAGCCUUGAUAGCAGCGAUAUCCUUUUUAUGGUUUCUUUUUUUUAGAAACCAUAAAAAGAUAAAGCGGAUAGCGAGAAUAGCU